rnacentral:SRP_RNA from 1 species
GACUGGGUACUAUGCGACUUAGAGCCGGCUAACUCCGCCAGGUCUGGAAGGAAGCAACGGUCGUCAGGCAUCGGGUGCGCCGUAGACUACCUAGUCUUU